CUUUUAAUCCCUCUUUAAACUUCCUAAAACUUCACUUAAAUUCAAGGUGGAACCCUUAACCAUGUGGAGGGGAGGGGAGAACAUAGAAAUGUCCCACAAUGCCAAUCGAUCGUUAACCUUGAGAAUUUUUGCACAUGCUGGCUUUCGAAAGAGAAGCGAGGGAAUGACAUUUAACUAUGGUUUUUAACUUCUUGGGGUCCACACAUGGAGAUGCCUUCAUUGAUGUGUACAUCAUUGCAACUUUAUGCAGGAUAAUCAUCUCCCAUGGAAACAAAUCCAGCAAUAAUUGCCUGGAAAAUGUCAAGCAUCAUGAAUGGCGAAAGCUAGCAUUAACAAACUUUGUUUGGGAGAGAAAGCUGGACAUGUUCAGAUGACACAUGUCAAUGAGGUUGCUGGAUGCCUACGAUGCUUUACAUGAAUCUGCUGCAAGUCAGGAUUGAAUAAAGACAAUCAUUCAAGAUGUAGUUAGAGGUAGAAUAGCGAACUUAACGAGACUGCGCUUCAAGGUUAAUUGAGGAGAAUCGGAGAGAAGAAAAUUUCUUUUCUGUUGAAGAAUCAAGCACCAUCUUUAUUACUAUUUUGAAUUGUCUGGGAAGUGCAAAUUUAAACUCACGAGCACUUUUUGAUUAGUAUUUAUAAAACGUGAACAGCAAGACAGAUCCGUACGGUAGUAAGAGACAGGCGCAAAGGGUUAAAGCAAGAAGUUAGGCCAGUACCAUGUCGAAGCUAUAAUUUUGUAACUCAGUUUCUCAAAGCACAAUCUUUAUUGCCGUUACAAGUUGUCUAUGAAAUUAAAAUUUUGCCAGAAACACAUCGCAAGAGUUAACACUGGCUUAGAAAAUUUGUUCUUAUGUCAAUUUUUUUUUGGUGAAAGUUGUUUCCUUGUCAACAUCGGUUUGACCGUGUUUAAUUUUCCCGCCAAAAGACUUAGAAAAAAUACGGGCGCCAAAACUACGCAUGCGCCAAUUUUUUUAAAAAAAAAUGCUUUCCCUUCUUCAUGUACUCCUUUAGAAAAUUUUUAAUUUUCCCGCCAAAAAACUUAGAAAAAUACUGGCGCCAAAGUACGCAUGCGCCGUUUUUUUUAAAAAAAAAUUUUAGUAAUUUUAAACUUAAAUUGUCAACAAUAAAAGUUAUAUUUCCUCUG